GGGGAGACUGGAAGGAUCAGAGGUCCAGGCAGUGCCCAGGGCAGGACGAUGGCCAGUGGCAGCAGCGACCUCAGCACCAGGAACACUGGUGUGCAAUGUAAUGGAAUACAGGAAUACCAGUGAGGGAAUUGGAUCUUUAAACUGCAGAGGGACAGCUGCUGGUGUGAGUGCAGCUGCCACAACCCACAGGACUCUUGUCUUAUAGCUACUGCUCAGCUCGAAGCCCAUCUGGACUCCGCUGUUGUUUCUGAUACUUUGAGACAGUGACUUGUUAUUUUCUCAUGAUGUCUGACCCCUCUCAUUUCCCUCAGGCCCCCUCUGCUUUCACCUAGGUUGUUUCAAAGAGAGUACGUUAGAAAGUAUAAAAUUUGGGGUGCCUUGGUCUCAUACCUGACCUGGGGAGGGGCCAGCCUGGGCUUAUUCCCAAAUCUGUCUAGGGGUGUGGGUUCUUCCCCCAGGGAUCUUGAUUGACUCGAGUAAAAGGAAGAGGGAGGACAAAGAUGUGAAAGCCGAGUGCGGGGCUGAGUAUUUACAUCUGUACUUUCAGUUUCUGCUCUGUAAUGCAUUAUACCUCUGACAAGGAAAAGGCUAUUGAUCCUGUCUUUCUCUAGUAAUGGGUCAGUAAAUAACAUUACUUAAUAUGUU